GGGGCUUCGCUCCUUGGAGCCCUCGGUGGUUUAACGCACUUCUGUGCACUGUACCGAGAGAGCUAGCGGAUGCACUUUGUUUUCCACCCCAUGAUAGACUUCACAGUUGUGUUUAGACAUCCCUGUUUUAAUGCACCGCGUCCCUCAGAGCCACCGAAACGUCGGAGGACGAAACCGGUCCGGUAUAGGCCAGCGUUUCCUGCCCAUUUGCCACCGUUUAGCCAUAGAAACACUUGGGAUAAAUUUCCCUGCCCGCUGCUCACACACGUGCGCACCAUGGACUAGGGGCCGUUAUUCCCCACCCAGCCCGCGAGGGACCAGGGCUCAAUGGCCACCGUGGUCGCGCACCCUGCUUGCUUCCCCUCCGCUUCCCCGGGACCCGCCACGCCUCUCCGGACAGCUGCCCACUCACCUCAUGCCCGUUGCUGGCUGGGAUGAUUUCGGACUCGUUAACCAAAGAUGACUUGAUGUCGGCUAAGUCGCCCUCCUCUUCGGGAUGACUGAUCUCGGCGAAGAUCUUCUCCUUCUGGGGAUCGCCUUCGUCCUUGAAGGGGAUCAUCUCAUCGGUGGCGCAGAGUUCCGGGUCCCCCCCGCCGCCUCCUCCGGAAAGUUGGGGCAUCCCGGCGGCUGUGUAAUCUCCGCUCCGCUGCGGGAGCACUCCGAGACAGCAAGAAGGGAGGGUCGAUGUGAGGUGGGGGAGUUGGAAGACUGAGUGCGGGAGGACUGUGAAUGGAAGCCGGGUGGGCAAGCGAGGGGCCCACGGCUGGAGCAGCUGCAGGAGCCUCUGCGAUUGCCGCGCUUUCCCACUUAGAAGGACGCCGGCGCCCGGCCCUGGGGCGAAGGGCACCAGACUGCGAGGGCGGCAGCCGCCGGCGCCUCUGAGAGCGUCUACGCCGCUCCGCGUGCACUAGGCUAGGCUGCCAGGGCUGGGUGGCCACCCCACGCCGCACUCGUUGCUGGGGUCUGUGCUUCGAGGACACCGGUUCCGGAGGGGACACGACUUGCCAAAGUGCAAACGAGGGUCCCGUGGUGCGUCACCGUGCAAAACCUCUCCACGGAUUCCUCGGAUGCUGAUUUCGGUGAUUUGGGGUUUUGUUUUGUUUUGUUUUUGAGAAGAGGAGAGCUGGGCCAAGAGGCUCCCUUUGCCCCAGCGGAGGUACGAGAAGAAUCAGAAAAUACCGAAAAGUCCACUUCCUUCAGAGUAAACAAUAAAGAGCCACCGGGCUGCAGACGUCCGCGUUAGAGCUUCUUUCCUUCCCUUUCGCUUCGGUUUUCCUUCUGGAGGAGCAUUUAAUCUGCUGGAGGGGGAGGGGCGGAGGAGGAGGGGAGAAAAAGAGAAGUUUGCCAAGAAUAAAGUUUGUGAUGAUGAGCGCUGGGAAUCGGCGGUGGCUGGCACGGCGGAGUCUUGGGGAGUCACAGCAGGAGCUUCGGGCCCAAAUGUUCCAGCCCGCAGCUCGGGCCGAUACACACACUUACACACACACACACACACACACACACACACACACACUCGAGCCCGAUCCCUCUUUGUUCCCGGCUCGAGUUUCUGCCUGGCUCGCCUCUCUCCCCGCCUCCCCUCGGUCAAAGCAAAGAGCUGCCGGUGGCCCCUCGGCUCCUCCGGGCAGACCGGCCGGGGAACACCCGGAGCGUAGCCGCUUGCAAGGCUCCGGGAAUGUCCGAAUGCCAGGGCCCACGAAAGCGCAGCCCGGUCCCUCCGGUGCGCGCUGCCCCGCAGGUGAGCGGUUGCGCCUUCCCACCGCUUCUCCUCGCCGCGCCUAGCCGGCGCUGCAAAGCUAUUCACUUGCGUCGCUUCUCCUCCCCCGCCCCUCCCCCGCCUCCUGCUCUCCUUGGCUGCCUGCUGGAGGGGUGGGGAGGAGGGAGUCUGUUAGGAGGAGGAGGAGAUCCAGGUUCUCUCCCCCCCCCCCCNNNNNNNNNNNNNNNNNNNNNNNNNNNNNNNNNNNNNNNNNNNNNNNNNNNNNNNNNNNNNNNNNNNNNNNNNNNNNNNNNNNNNNNCUGUGUGUAACCCAACCCCAAAGAACAGUGUGGCCCACGUGAAAAUUGACGAGAAACUACGGGAAUGGCUUAACUUCAUCAUCUGAGCAUCUCUUCUUCUCUUGCCGACCCCCCCCCACCCCGCCCCCGGCGCCUCACUUCUAGUCCUUUGCCAGUCUUUCUUCAACCUCCUUCCCGCCGCCCACUCUAGCCCCCUCACUCAGGCAAGGGGAGGAAGAUGAAAGAGAAAGCCGCUGGCGCUGUGGUCGACACCACAUUGAUAGAUGCUCUGACAGAGGGAAUAAGGCGAGAAUUAGGGACUAGGGGAAGGAAAAGGAGAAAAUGUAACACAUUGCUCACCUAACCAGAGAGAAGAGAUUCAGCAAAGGCAAACAGAAGAGUUGUGACUCUACUAACCGUGAAUCACACACACUUCGGAGACAAGGGCACACCACCCUAGCGAAAAUAAAAUCUCCAGGCUUACCAGGGGGGAAGGAUCAGUAAGAAGGGUGUGGAUGAAGACUGAGCCUUAAAUAUCGCUUCUACGCUAUCACAUUCAUUGUGCCUUUAUCACCGAAUGAACGUGGGUUUUUGGAGAUUCUCGACUCAGCGUGUAGAGACCUCGUAGAAAAAGGAAAAUACAUCCCAAAAGGAGGGAGAAGAACAACCUAGGAGAGGCAGGCAGCACUGGGCAGUUGCUGACAUCCUGGAGACUCCGCUGAAAGGGACCUUUAAAGGAUGGAUGUAAAUACGAAUCAAACCUCAAAAAUUCUCCGGUUCCCACUGUCUCCUUGGUGCAUUUUGGACAGGACUUUUAAGGGCGACGCUUUGUGAAAGUCACUGUGUAAGUGGGGCUUAAGUUUGGAAACACAUUGUCUUUUAGCUCUCAACCCCUCCCCUCAAGUCAAAUAUUCAGGCAAAAUCAUUAGACCAGUGAGGCAGCCAUCUGUAGAACCUGGGAGCAGUAAACAGGAAGAAUUGUAUCUCCAUCUUACUUAAAUGGAAAAUAAGACUCC
ensembl:antisense Gm43352 predicted gene 43352